rnacentral:rRNA from 1 species
GGGCGUUAAGUUGCAGGGUAUAGACCCGAAACCCGGUGAUCUAGCCAUGGGCAGGUUGAAGGUUGGGUAACACUAACUGGAGGACCGAACCGACUAAUGUUGAAAAAUUAGCGGAUGACCUGUGGCUGGGGGUGAAAGGCCAAUCAAACCGGGAGAUAGCUGGUUCUCCCCGAAAGCUAUUUAGGUAGCGCCUCGUGAAUUCAUCUCCGGGGGUAGAGCACUGUUUCGGCUAGGGGGUCAUCCCGACUUACCAACCCGAUGCAAACUGCGAAUACCGGAGAAUGUUAUCACGGGAGACACACGGCGGGUGCUAACGUCCGUCGUGAAGAGGGAAACAACCCAGACCGCCAGCUAAGGUCCCAAAGUCAUGGUUAAGUGGGAAACGAUGUGGGAAGGCCCAGACAGCCAGGAUGUUGGCUUAGAAGCAGCCAUCAUUUAAAGAAAGCGUAAUAGCUCACUGGUCGAGUCGGCCUGCGCGGAAGAUGUAACGGGGCUAAACCAUGCACCGAAGCUGCGGCAGCGACGCUUAUGCGUUGUUGGGUAGGGGAGCGUUCUGUAAGCCUGUGAAGGUGGCCUGUGAGGGUUGCUGGAGGUAUCAGAAGUGCGAAUGCUGACAUAAGUAACGAUAAAGCGGGUGAAAAGCCCGCUCGCCGGAAGACCAAGGGUUCCUGUCCAACGUUAAUCGGGGCAGGGUGAGUCGACCCCUAAGGCGAGGCCGAAAGGCGUAGUCGAUGGGAAACGGGUUAAUAUUCCCGUACUUGGUGUUACUGCGAAGGGGGGACGGAGAAGGCUAUGUUGGCCGGGCGACGGUUGUCCCGGUUUAAGCGUGUAGGUGUGUGUUCCAGGUAAAUCCGGUUCACUUUAACACUGAGGCGUGACGACGAGGCACUACGGUGCUGAAGCAACAAAUGCCCUGCUUCCAGGAAAAGCCUCUAAGCAUCAGGUAACAUCAAAUCGUACCCCAAACCGACACAGGUGGUCAGGUAGAGAAUACCAAGGCGCUUGAGAGAACUCGGGUGAAGGAACUAGGCAAAAUGGUGCCGUAACUUCGGGAGAAGGCACGCUGACACGUAGGUGAAGUGAUUUACUCACGGAGCUGAAGUCAGUCGAAGAUACCAGCUGGCUGCAACUGUUUAUUAAAAACACAGCACUGUGCAAACACGAAAGUGGACGUAUACGGUGUGACGCCUGCCCGGUGCCGGAAGGUUAAUUGAUGGGGUCAGCGCAAGCGAAGCUCCUGAUCGAAGCCCCGGUAAACGGCGGCCGUAACUAUAACGGUCCUAAGGUAGCGAAAUUCCUUGUCGGGUAAGUUCCGACCUGCACGAAUGGCGUAAUGAUGGCCAGGCUGUCUCCACCCGAGACUCAGUGAAAUUGAACUCGCUGUGAAGAUGCAGUGUACCCGCGGCAAGACGGAAAGACCCCGUGAACCUUUACUAUAGCUUGACACUGAACAUUGAGCCUUGAUGUGUAGGAUAGGUGGGAGGCUUUGAAGCGUGGACGCCAGUCUGCGUGGAGCCGACCUUGAAAUACCACCCUUUAAUGUUUGAUGUUCUAACGUGGACCCGUGAUCCGGGUUGCGGACAGUGUCUGGUGGGUAGUUUGACUGGGGCGGUCUCCUCCUAAAGAGUAACGGAGGAGCACGAAGGUUGGCUAAUCCUGGUCGGACAUCAGGAGGUUAGUGCAAUGGCAUAAGCCAGCUUGACUGCGAGCGUGACGGCGCGAGCAGGUGCGAAAGCAGGUCAUAGUGAUCCGGUGGUUCUGAAUGGAAGGGCCAUCGCUCAACGGAUAAAAGGUACUCCGGGGAUAACAGGCUGAUACCGCCCAAGAGUUCAUAUCGACGGCGGUGUUUGGCACCUCGAUGUCGGCUCAUCACAUCCUGGGGCUGAAGUAGGUCCCAAGGGUAUGGCUGUUCGCCAUUUAAAGUGGUACGCGAGCUGGGUUUAGAACGUCGUGAGACAGUUCGGUCCCUAUCUGCCGUGGGCGCUGGAGAACUGAGGGGGGCUGCUCCUAGUACGAGAGGACCGGAGUGGACGCAUCACUGGUGUUCGGGUUGUCAUGCCAAUGGCACUGCCCGGUAGCUAAAUGCGGAAGAGAUAAGUGCUGAAAGCAUCUAAGCACGAAACUUGCCCCGAGAUGAGUUCUCCCUGAGACUU